rnacentral:misc_RNA from 1 species
AACGCACGAGACCUGCGGACCUGCGGAGGGAUCAUUAUCGAGUGUAACCUACCCCGUAAAAAAGGGUGGUACCUCCCGUCCUUUGCAGGCCCCCCCCUUUUGAUGGGGGCUUUUUAAGACUUUCUGCUUCGGCGGGGUUACUCCCGCCGGAACACCCUCAAAAAAUUCUUGAUCAAAAACCGUUCAGUCCGAGAAUUUUUGAAAAUUAAAAAAAAACUUUCAGCAAUGGAUCUCUAGAUC